rnacentral:rRNA from 1 species
UACAGAGGGUGCGAGCGUUAAUCGGAGUUACUGGGCGUAAAGGGCGCGUAGGCGGUCAUGUAAGUGAGAUGUGAAAUCCCUGGGCUUAACCUAGGAAUUGCAUUUUAAACUGUGUGACUAGAGUACAGUAGAGGGUGGCGGAAUUUCCGGUGUAGCGGUGAAAUGCGUAGAGAUCGGAAGGAACACCAGUGGCGAAGGCGGCCACCUGGACUGAUACUGACGCUGAAGCGCGAGAGCGUGGGGAGCAAACAGG